rnacentral:rRNA from 1 species
UGGUGGAUUAGUGGCGAACGGGUGAGUAACACGUGGGCAAUCUGCCCUUCACUCUGGGACAAGCCCUGGAAACGGGGUCUAAUACCGGAUAAUACUCCUGCCCGCAUGGGAGGGGGUUGAAAGCUCCGGCGGUGAAGGAUGAGCCCGCGGCCUAUCAGCUUGUUGGUGGGGUAAUGGCCUACCAAGGCGACGACGGGUAGCCGGCCUGAGAGGGCGACCGGCCACACUGGGACUGAGACACGGCCCAGACUCCUACGGGAGGCAGCAGUGGGGAAUAUUGCACAAUGGGCGAAAGCCUGAUGCAGCGACGCCGCGUGAGGGAUGACGGCCUUCGGGUUGUAAACCUCUUUCAGCAGGGAAGAAGCGCAAGUGACGGUACCUGCAGAAGAAGCGCCGGCUAACUACGUGCCAGCAGCCGCGGUAAUACGUAGGGCGCAAGCGUUGUCCGGAAUUAUUGGGCGUAAAGAGCUCGUAGGCGGCUUGUCACGUCGGAUGUGAAAGCCCGGGGCUUAACCCCGGGUCUGCAUUCGAUACGGGCUAGCUAGAGUGUGGUAGGGGAGAUCGGAAUUCCUGGUGUAGCGGUGAAAUGCGCAGAUAUCAGGAGGAACACCGGUGGCGAAGGCGGAUCUCUGGGCCAUUACUGACGCUGAGGAGCGAAAGC